GAUGAACGCUAGCGGCAGGCUUAAUACAUGCAAGUCGAGGGGCAGCAUGGUGGUAGCAAUACCACUGACGGCGACCGGCAAACGGGUGCGGAACACGUACGCAACUUACCCUUAACUGGGGGAUAGCCCGGGGAAACCCGGAUUAAUACCUCGUAACAUAUUGUGGUGGCAUCACCAUAUUAUUAUAGCUUUAUUGUGGUUAAGGAUGGGCGUGCGGCUGAUUAGGUAGUUGGCAGGGAACGGCCUACCAAGCCUGCGAUCAGUAACUGGUGUGAGAGGAUGAUCAGCCACAUUGGGACUGAGACACGGCCCAAACUCCUACGGGAGGCAGCAGUGGGGAAUAUUGGACAAUGGGCGCAAGCCUGAUCCAGCCAUGCCGCGUGAGUGAUGAAGGCCCUAGGGUUGUAAAGCUUCUUUUGUGCGGGAAGAUAAUGACGGUACCGCAAGAAUAAGCCCGGCUAACUUCGUGCCAGCCGCCG
rnacentral:rRNA from 1 species